rnacentral:rRNA from 1 species
AUUGAACGCUGGCGGCAUGCCUUACACAUGCAAGUCGAACGGCAGCGCGGGAGCAAUCCUGGCGGCGAGUGGCGAACGGGUGAGUAAUACAUCGGAACGUGCCCAAUCGUGGGGGAUAACGCAGCGAAAGCUGUGCUAAUACCGCAUACGAUCUACGGAUGAAAGCAGGGGAUCGCAAGACCUUGCGCGAAUGGAGCGGCCGAUGGCAGAUUAGGUAGUUGGUGAGGUAAAGGCCCACCAAGCCUUCGAUCUGUAGCUGGUCUGAGAGGACGACCAGCCACACUGGGACUGAGGCACGGCCCAGACUCCUACGGGAGGCAGCAGUGGGGAAUGUUGGACAAUGGGCGAAAGCCUUAUCCAGCCAUGCCGCGUGCAGGAUGAAGGCCUUCGGGUUGUAAACUGCUUUUGUACGGAACGAAACGGUCUUUUCUAAUAAAGAAGGCUAAUGACGGUACCGUAAGAAUAAGCACCGGCUAACUACGUG